CCCACAGAGAUCUCUCGAUUGAAGGAUGUGAGAAGAUAACUCUCGAGAUUGGUCGGAGAUUGAAGAUCUCUCCGAUUCUCCUCGCUUUGCCAAUCUUGACAUCUCUAUUCCCCGAAGAUUCCUUUGAAGAUCAGAAAGAUCUGUCUGAGCGCGACCUUCCUUUUGCUUCCAUCCACCAUUGUAACCAUCAUAAUAAUGAGAAUCUGCCCGCCGAUUAUCGAUUGAAAACUCUGAUUUCUCCUUGUAAUCCUUUGAUCCCCGGGAUCCCAACCUUGAAAAUCCAUCGAACCCUAAAAAGUCGCGGUCGCCAUCGCCAUC
rnacentral:lncRNA from 1 species